ACCCCAGGCUUUACACUUUAUGCUUCCGGCUCGUAUGUUGUGUGGAAUUGUGAGCGGAUAACAAUUUCACACAGGAAACAGCUAUGACCAUGAUUACGCCAAGCUAUUUAGGUGACACUAUAGAAUACUCAAGCUAUGCAUCCAACGCGUUGGGAGCUCUCCCAUAUGGUCGACCUGCAGGCGGCCGCGAAUUCACUAGUGAUUAUGAGAUCGAAACGGAUAGAGUCAGCGUAUCUGACCUGUAUUCAGCCAUCCAAUUGCCAGUCGUCAUGUGUUGAUUUCCAGACUGGGACAGUGUGUGGCUAGCUGAUUGUUGUGUGGUGCAUUUGCAGGUGGAGUGCGUCGAGACGCUCGGUGUGGCGACAUGAGCUCAGUUUUGAGGCCAGCUUGCUGGUACCCGAAUUGGAGGAAUGUUGUUCACGCUGAGUGGAAUUGGCAAGGCCUACGAGUCCGGUUGGGCAUCGAGCUGGCAGUCGGCGUCGGUCGCAUGCGACACGUGCUGUGCAGUCAGUUCGGUCCUAGUCGAGCUCACAAGCCUAAUCUCGGCGUAAAAGCUGGUCAUCUAUCCGACCCGUCUUGAAACACGGACCAAGGAGUUUAUCGUGUGCGCAAGUCAUUGGGCGUUGAAAACCCAAAGGCGCAAUGAAAGUGAACGCAUCCGCAAGGAGCUGACGUGCGAUCCCGGGUACUGCGGUGCCCGAGCGCAGCAUGGCCCCAUCCCGAUUGCUUGCAAUGGGGUGGAGGAAGAGCGUACGCGGUGAGACCCGAAAGAUGGUGAACUAUUCCUGAGCAGGAUGAAGCCAGAGGAAACUCUGGUGGAAGUCCGAAGCGAUUCUGACGUGCAAAUCGAUCGUCUGACUUGGGUAUAGGGGCGAAAGACUAAUCGAACCAUCUAGUAGCUGGUUCCUUCCGAAAUCGAAUUCCCGCGGCCGCCAUGGCGGCCGGAGCAUG
rnacentral:rRNA from 1 species